UUGCUAGGUGGAUUACUACUUCCUUGGAUGUUUUCAUGUUAUUAUUUCCUUGCUCCCCUUUGCAGGGAAGCAUUCUCAUCUUUCGUGUCACUUGCGUAAGAUACAACAUGCUAAUGCUAUCUUGGUUUGGUUUGCUCUUGCAGAAAAUAAGUGAAAUGUGCAGACCGACAACAUGGACGGCAGGUCUUGCGGCUCUCAGCGCCCUCAACCCCCCACUGACCUCAAUUUUGAUCUCUCCUCUACUCUUCUGGUGAGUGGGAGCAGCAUGUGGAUAUAUUGAACUAUAUAUUAGCUUUUGAUUGGUUCCCAUGAAGUACUUUGGAAUUCAUUAUAUAGUUGUGUCAGUGAAGAUGUCGUAGAUUUGUUAAUAUAGAGAACACAAAAUUUUCAUCUAUAUCUGUUGACCUUGUGUGCCAUAGGUAAACAUAUUUUCCUAUCUAUUUCUAUUCUUCAGCCUCUUUAUAUUUCAGGGUGGUGGUGAGAGCGGGUGUGAACCGGGAAAGGCGGCCAUAGGAGAUAUAUGAUAGGAAAAGAAUUGCUCUAUGGCGCAAAGGGCGAGAGGGAGCCAACUAUGAUAGGAAAAGAGGAUGCAUGUAGGUAAUCGCAGGGUGGAUGCUUAAUGUUGCUUAUUCAGCAGGGGCUAUCAACCUGUGAUUAUCUACAUGGUAUAUCUAGCCCAUCAAGGUCCUGCACAUGGUAUAUAUAGCCCAUCAAGGUCCUCCAUGGCCAUCGACUUGCUUUCUGCUCGGGCAGGAUUAGAUGCAACCUCCUGUUUGUGAUGCAGUGCCCCAAAGGCUCGGAUGCAGGUGCAAGUCAACAAUGCCAGUAGUGAGUCGAGAGAAGUGGAGAAGAGGGUCCCUCCAGGCUCCAUACAUGAAUGGUGUAUGUCGAAUGUCUUGGGUAAACUUUUGCUUUUCCUUCAUUUCUUUAUCUUCGAGUCAACAAUGCGAGUAGUGAGUCGAGAGAAGUGGAGAAGAGGGUCCCUCCAGGCUCCAUACAUGAAUGGUGUAUGUCGAAUGUCUCGGGUAAACUUUUGCUUUUCCUUCAUUUCUUCAUCUUCAGUUGAAGAAUCGUCCCUCCACUGUCAUCUUGAAGGGUGGCAUGCGGCAAUGUCGGGGAAAGCAAGGAAGAUGUUCUUGUACAUCAUCGAACAUAUAAACCCUGGUGGCCAAACUAAAUGUUUUAUAUUCCUUUGGGAAACUUUUAAGGAAAUCCUCCCAAACAAAUCAUUCAGAUAACUACUUCAGGUUAGGCGGGAGAAAUAAAAAGGGUAACCAUAGAUAUAUGGUCUAGCAUCACGAGGUUCAGGUUCCUGUUAUUGAUCAACCAUUGCUUUGCUCGACGUGGGUUAUGCUUGAUUAUGUUCUUCUUUGUAUUUUUGUUCAUGGCCUACACCGGUGUUAUCAUCUAUUUUGUUUCAAAAUUUUCAAUGGCUUAUUUUCAUGUCCCAAUACCACUUGAAAUACAACUAAGUACCUUCUGACAGGACAAUAAUGUAUGUAUUUACCUAUGGUUAUUGUUUCCUAAAAGAAACUUGAUCAUCUCACCUUGGUUUCCCCUGUAUCUGACUUGGGACAGGUUUAUGUGAGAUUUGUUUUCCAUUUUCUGUUUGUGUGGAUGCUUAAGCUUAAGCUUUUGUUAUUUGUUAGAGAUUAAAGAAGACUGAAAUAUGGGCUCAAGCGAUUGCUAUGUCUGACCUACACAAGAAUGCCAAGAAGUCCUCGGAGACAAUGAAGGACAUGUACCUGCACUACAACGAGAGAUCUGGGCUGCUUCUUUGUGGCUUUCAAACUUGAAGUGUUUGUUUGGAAGUUAGUUUAGUUUUUUGUUUUGGAUUCACAGCUUCUCACAUGUACCAUCCUCUUAGACCUUUAGAUUUCCAAAGAAACUAAAUGAAGAUAUGGUGGUAUGGUCUCAAUAGUACAACUUAAAUCGUUCCAUGCUUUAUAUUUGCUAUCAAAUUUGCUCUUCAAGAAUCAUGUAUCUACGUUAGAUCCGGUGAGCUUUAUAUUUGC